UACGAAGGGGGCUAGCGUUGCUCGGAAUCACUGGGCGUAAAGGGUGCGUAGGCGGAUCUUUAAGUCAGGGGUGAAAUCCCGGGGCUCAACCCCGGAACUGCCCUUGAUACUGGAGAUCUUGAGUUCGGGAGAGGUGAGUGGAACUGCGAGUGUAGAGGUGAAAUUCGUAGAUAUUCGCAAGAACACCAGUGGCGAAGGCGGCUCACUGGCCCGAUACUGACGCUGAGGCACGAAAGCGUGGGGAGCAAACAGG
rnacentral:rRNA from 1 species